rnacentral:tRNA from 1 species
UAAAGUUUAGUUUAUACAAAACAAAUGUUUUGAAAACAUUAAUAGGAGAUUCCUCCAACUUUUA